CCUACGGGAGGCAGCAGUGAGGAAUAUUGGUCAAUGGACGCAAGUCUGAACCAGCCAUGCCGCGUGCAGGAUGACGGCCUUAUGAGUUGUAAACUGCUUUUGUACGAGGGUAAACCACGAUACGUGUAUCGGGCUGAAAGUAUCGUAAGAAUAAGGAUCGGCUAACUCCGUGCCAGCAGCCGCGGUAAUACGGAGGAUGCGAGCGUUAUCCGGAUUUAUUGGGUUUAAAGGGUGCGUAGGCGGAAUGCCAAGUCAGCGGUAAAAUCGCGGGGCUCAACCUCUCUGCGCCGUUGAAACUGGCGUUCUUGAGUGAGCGAGAAGUAUGCGGAAUGCGUGGUGUAGCGGUGAAAUGCAUAGAUAUCACGCAGAACUCCGAUUGCGAAGGCAGCAUACCGGCGCCCAACUGACGCUGAAGCACGAAAGCGUGGGUAUCGAACAGGAUUAGAUACCCGAGUAGUC
rnacentral:rRNA from 1 species